rnacentral:misc_RNA from 1 species
ACUGCCUUUAUCUUCGAUUUAUUACCUUCAUUUAUCUUUUAUGCUUUCGCGUUAUACGUCUCUCUGUAAUAUUUAUUACUGUUUUACGUAAUAUAUAUAUAUAUAUAUAUAUAUUAUGAUACUUUUUUAAUCAUUUUUUGGUGCUCUCUGGAUACUGCAAAAAUUGGAAUGUUUGCGAAAUGAGAAAUCGGCGUCUAUGCUCCUGUUAAACUUUCUACAGGGGUAUACUGUGUACAGCGUAGCGUCGCGCUUUAGAAUUAUACCUUUUCUGUUCU